UCUACCUCUAGGGACUUUACAUGUGUUGCUGCUGUGUCACAUGUGCAUCAGUAGAUGGCAGAGAGGAGAGGGGCUGUGUCUAUGCUCAGUGUCCUGACAUAUGAAUGUCUGAAUAAAAGAAGCAAGCGGC